rnacentral:lncRNA from 1 species
GGGACAGCGACAUGUGCCCCGUGUCACCGCUGGGGACAGGGACAGACCCCUGUGUCACCCUGUCACCGCUGGGGACAGCGACAUGUGCCCCGUGUCACCGCUGGGGACAGCGACAUGUGCCCCGUGUCACCGCUGGGGACGGGGACAGGGACAGCCCUGUGUCACCGCUGGGGACAGCGACAUGUGCCCCGUGUCACUGCUGGGGACAGGGACAGACCCCCGUGUCACCGUUUCACCACUGGGGACAGGGAUGUGUGCCCCGUGUCACCUCUGGGGACAGGGACAUGUGCCCCACACUGAGCCCCCUGUGCCCCGUGUCACCGCUGGGGACAGGGACAGCCCCGUGUCACCGCUCCCACACUGAGCCCACUGUCCCCACAGGGCCCAGGCUGCGGGUGCCGGUGGACGAGGACACGCCGGGGGACGCGGCGCUGAAAGGGCUGGGCCUUGGCAACCCCUGCUUCAAGGACACCGACCCCGAGAUGGGCAAGGGUGACAAGGACAAGGGUGGCAAGGACAAGGGUGACAAGGACAAGGGUGGCAAGGACAAGGACAAGAAGAAGGACAAGAAGAACAAGAACAGGGGCAAGAACAAGGACAAAGACAAGGACACGGACACAGACACGGACACAGAUAUGGACAUGGACAUGGGCAGGGACACAGGCAGGGACACAGAUGUGGACAAGGACAAGGACACGGACAUGGGCAGGGAUACGGACACGGACAAGGACACAGACACAGGCAAGGACAUGGACAAGGACACGGGCAAGGACACGGGCAAGGACACGGACACAGGCAAGGACACAGGCAAGGACACGGGCAAGGACACGGGCAAGGACACGGACAUGGACAUGGGCACAACCACGGACAUGGGCACAAACACGGACACGGACAUGGGCACAAACAUGGACAUGGACAUGGGCACAACCAUGGACAUGGACAUGGGCACAACCACGGACACGGUGUCCGGAGAGGACUGACCCCCCACCCCGAUCCCCACUCCCCACUUGUGCCACUCCCCCCUUUCUAUUUAAACUGGUUUUGUCACAUCCUGG